GAUUUGAAAAUUCCCUCUGUGAGUCCAAAUGUCCCUGUUACCAGUCAGGAAGAGAAAGUUCCCAGGAUUUUCAAGCAACUCUGAACAAACAAUGGGGGCGGGCUCUCAUAGUACUUGUUUUGCAUCAGCUUACAAAUGUGCUUAGGUUGCAUUUAGACUGUGUAUUUUUAAAAGUGAAAUUCUGGCAUUUUGCAUUUAAUCCUAACUAAAGCUUUUUGAUAUAUUCACUUAAAAUGUCUUCCAAUCACCACGAUCUUGCAGCUUAGAUAUCGUCUUUGGAAAGGUUAAAUGAGUCAAUUUUCUGAAGCUAUUGUCGGCACAAGCACGUAAGUCUGUCCUGCUGGAAAAAAAGGGGGUGGGGAGGUAGGCAGUUCCAGCCAACCCACUCUUCUGUCUCCCUCCUGCGAGCCUGUGUUAGGAGGGAAAGCUGCCGCUACAGGGCUAUGUACACUUCCAUUUAAGCAUUUAAUUUAGGCGAGGAAGGCUGGACGACCUCUGUUGGUGCGGCUGCAGCCUUACAAGAAAUUUCAGCAAGAUACGGAAGGGAGAGCUCAGCCCUAGGCCGAGAGCUGCCGGGAGGGGGCGCGCCCAAGCGCACAGCAAAGACAAAGACCGGCAGCCAACGGUUGUCGGCGCUGGCGGAGGCUCCAGAGGCUGGGAGUGGAGUCCGAGGAUCGAACAGCUCCUGAAGACGGAAGGUCCCCCUCUUUCCACCUCCACAGACAACACCAAGCACACUGGAAGAAAGGACUGGCAGUGUGAACACGCAGUCUCCUUCCUAGGAGAGAGAAAUGCAAGGCCUGUUGUGAACAAGCCUGGGAUUGCCAGGAUCCUAGGACCUUUAAGAAGGCACCAAAAUUUAUCAGCUAUGGAUGAAGAAGGGGACUCAGGGUCCCAGCCCAACCCCGGGGCCUCCACACCCUUGGACUCCAGCCCUAGGUUCUCAGAGGCACUGCAGCAGCACAUUUGCCCUUCUGCUUUUCUGUCAAGUCAUACUGCAGGAUGAAGCCCUCCCAGGAUGCUGACACUUAGGCUGAGCAAAAGAAACCCCUGUUCCUUAUUAAUCCCCUAGUCUUGGGUAGCCCGUUACAGCAACAGAAAAUGGGCUAAGACACAACAUAAAGUGGCUUUUACUUUCCCUUCAGUCUUCAGCCACACUCCCACCCAGCAGUGCUACCCAGCUCAAGGGCUUCAAUAAACAUUAUGUUGCCUUCCACCUGUUUCCUC
rnacentral:lncRNA from 1 species